AUGGUCAUUUAUGUCACGGAGAAAAUUGUUGAUUCGGAGAAAGAUCUCUUGGAGGAGCCGAUAGUGGCAGAAGGAAUCGUGUUCAUGGCGUUGACAUUGUUUCCAAAACAGUUGAUGGUUGGACCGGUUAUGACUGAAUUGAUUUGGAAUGAGAUUCUUGGUUUUGGUGCUGCAUGUUACUUGGACUUGUGUGGACAUAUGUUUGUUGCACCACCUGCUGCAACUUUCUGA
rnacentral:lncRNA from 1 species